rnacentral:tRNA from 1 species
GCCAGUGUGGCGGAAUCCGGCUUAACGCGCUCGCCUCGAAAGCGAGAGAGCUUCGGCUCAUUCAGGUUCAAAUCCUGGCGCUGGCG